CCCCCCCAUAACUAUAGCUGCGUAGAAAAGGUGAAUAUCUCAUUUCAACAGACACUUAAACACCUUAGCAUUUAUACAAACACCUCCUUCCAGUUCCUCUGUUUCUUCUGUCUGCUUUAGUGUCAUUCCUGUUUGUUUGUC
rnacentral:lncRNA from 12 species